CAAAACGAGGCUCCACCUAUCAAGCAAUCAGAUCAGCACAAGCUCAACUAAAUUUCUCUCUGUUUUUUCUCAACCUCACACUCUAGCUGUAUCUACAGGCUGCAUAAUGUCUGAUAAUGGAUUGUUAGAGAACGCCAAUACCAGAACAUGUUACCAGGACGCUAAAUCCGACCAAUCAGAUGAUGAUUUAGUCUCCCUCUCCAGUGCUGAAUCAGAGUCAAGUCAUUUCUCUGAUAACAAUGAAAUUGACCAGACCACCCAGCCCCACCCUCCUAGUGUGGCCACCGAGAACACUGAGCAUCCUAGUGUGGCCACCGAGACUACUGAGCAUACUCAGACUGACAACUGUAGUGUCUCUUCAGACGGUUGGUUCAAAGUUGAGGCCAACGUUACGGAGACCACACCCACACAGCCGCUCCCCAUGGUGGGACAAAGCAAUAGUCAAGGCACAGAGAGUUGUGCUUCUUCAGCUAAGACAGUAGAGGUGCUGUCUAGUAGUGUUCAGGAUCCUUCAAGUUUUACGAGCCUAGAGGACACUGAAACUGAAACAGGCUCCAUUGUUUCUGCCUCACCAUUGCCACAAACAGAAGAUGCUGCAACAAGUUUAUCUUCCAUUGAAGAAUUACGACGGAAUCAGCAGCAAGACACAUCAGUUAAUGAGGAGCAGUUGGCCACAGGUGGUGAGGUGGGACGAACAGGUACUGAGGAAACAGAUGUGGCCUCAGGGGGCGAGAAGAGUGGACGAAUGUCCCCUUAUCUAAUGAUCAAUAAGGAGGGCAACAUUGCCAGGGUUACGGAAUUCGAAUCCCCUGGUUUGCUCUAUGCCAGACCCACCAGCAAGAAUAAUAAGAGUGAGCUGGUGGCUGAUGAGGUGGCAGUUGAUGUACUGGAGAAGUAUGACGGAGAGGAGGGGGCGGAGGUGGAGGGAGAGGACAGUGAAGACGCUGAAGAGAACUCCUACGAAGUUGGGCUCUCGGAGGGUGUGUCCCUCAUUGAUCCCGACGUCCUGGGUGACCUUGAGAGGAGGGCAAAGGUCAUAGCUGGCAACCUCAACCACGUUAUGGAUAACCUCAGGAACAGUCUACAUGCACAUCAAGAUUGAUGGAGUACACUGUGAGAGACGAAAGGUCAAGAUAGGAUUGAGUUCGGUCCCUUCUGUAAUCGGAUGACCAUGCAGUCAGUCCAUGACUGUCUCGCAGUUGCGGAGAUUUGGCUGGAGGUGGUUGUACAAGCAAGGCUUCAUAGCUCAUCGACAUCAUAAUUAUAGUUCCCUGCUAAACACACUCAAGUGGGAUCUAUAUAGUACCCCUGUUAUCAAUGCAUGGGCUAACCCCUAACCUUAAUCCUAACCCGGGGGUAUAUAGUUUGUGUUGUGUUUUUGUACUCAGCUGCAUGUAUGCAUGCUUUCUUUCGGCAUUCUGGGAAAAUUUAACAAUGUUGAUAAAUAUAAUCAAUCCACAUGUAUAAUAUCGUCAUUAUACACGCAUGUACGUAGUUGGUAUUUUGACUUAAUUGCCACAGUGCAUAGUUCACAAUCUCAACUGCUUGCAUGGCUUUGCUGAGUUAUUGCAUUGUGCUUCGUGUGGUGCCUUUGCACCUACACAUGUAUACUAUAGUACGUAUGUCAAUCCUAGCUUGUAGCAGCUGUUUCCUGAAAUUGCCUUUGUUCCUGAGCUACAGUUACUUCACUUGGACCAGCAGCAUUUAUAGUUUCAACUGAUUCCUGCAACCGAUUCUCUUGUAUUACUUCAGUGUAAGAAGGCAAAGCUUUUCCUUGUGCUUGAACCUCAUAGUAUGAGGGUGGUGGCUGAUUUGAUAAUGAUCUGUCAUUGACUGUCUCAUCAAUAGAAUCAGAGUCUGUGUUUACAGGUUGUCUUAAUUGACUAGUUUGAGGAAGUGAGAAAGCCAAAAGUUGUUGUGGUGCUAAUGUGGCGGCGGCGGUGGCGACGUCAUCGUUGUCAUCGUUGUUGUUGUUGUCAUUGUCGUCGUUGUUAUUAUAUUCUGUUUGUCUGUAAUGAAUGAGUCUAAUUCUUCUUACUCCUGGGUCCACUCGAGUUGAGAUUGUUCGAGUUCGUGGAUGAUUAAUUCUAUCUUUCAUAACACGGCAUACAAUUCCCAAAAAUAUUGCUAUACCGAUUAGUCCUGGAAUACCAACACCAAGUCCACUAAUUAACAGUGUUGAAGAUGUUGAAGAAUCAGAACCAGUAUUGGAUGGUCUGUUCUGCGCUUGACUGAUAGCUGGUAUCACCGUCAUCUCCUCUGUACUCUGUACUAAUAACAAGAAACUGUCUAAUGACUAUAAAUCAUAAUUACUGAAUCUAAUAAUCUUGACGUACUUGGUGUACUUUUAUACACACACCUGUUGACCUAACCAUUAAUUGUGCUAUAUAUAGCAGCUAAUGUAGAUUUCCCAAAUAAUCUGUUUCCCAUGAAGUAACUUAAUCCCUGCUUCAAUUCCUGGAACAUGUUUGAGUGUUGAGUCAUACGUAUAGCUAUAUGCUUAAUAAGUACGGAAUCUGAUCUGUGUUUAAUUAUAGAAUCAAUUCAGAUUUUGACGUAUAAAACUAUGAACCUUGUUGUACAUGUGACAUGCAUGUUCAUUGUGAAGACAGAGUCCGUAAUUUGUCUGCAAAUAAUUCCCCAAGCUGUUAGUGUGUUUUCCUUGAGUGCAUGUUGAGGUCAUUUGUAUGUGUACUGUUGUGGCCAGGAGUCGAAUAUGCCAUGUCUAUGCUGGGUCACAUGUGAUAACAAAAUUAAUGUUGACCCAAUUUAGUUAUGUGUAUAUAACCCUGCAUGGCCUUUAAUUAUGUUAUAGUUAUAACACGGGCACGAGGGAUGUAUGGAAUAUAUUGCACUGAAGCACGAGGGCGCCAGCCCCGAGGGCUGAGUGCAAUAUAUGCCAUGCAGCCCGAGUGCACGUGUUAUAACUAGUUUAUAUCCCGAGGGCAUAGCAACAUAACACUGUCCUAGUAACACAAUAUAAACAGCACAAAAAAAAAGACAGAGACAACUCUAGACACAGCUCCAUCUCUUCUCUCUUCUAGACGCCAGUAUCUGCAGCGUAUAAGAUUGGCAUGACGGACAAAUGGCUUGACACAAAAUUGUUGGAGUUCCAACUGAAAUCUGCAAAACAGCCCCACCCCACUUACUGCAUGCUGCAAAGAAACAGUCCCACCCCACUACUCAGUGAAUACAUGUAUUAGCUGCUGGUCUACGCUCGGCCUCAUAACCAAGCCAAGAAAGCUCGCUUCUACACUGCUGCAAAACAGCUCAUGCCCCCAGCAAAAAGAGCCACUUCUAGUGCUAAGGUGAAGCAGAAUUGACAUGCAUCACGAGGUCGAGGACUAGGUCGAUCUAGGAACACAGAAUCUUCCACAAAAUGAAUCUUGGACAAUUUUAAAACCUGCAUGGUUGCAAGAAGAAACUCCAGCAGUGCUGAACAUUCAUUCCUGCAUGGCUGGACACACUUUGAUACUUGUUAUUUCUCAUGCGUAUUAAUUUAAUUUUAAUUUAAUUGUCUGUCUAAUUGCCAGAGGGGCGUUUUGUGGUUAGUGCAUUAUGACUUUGCGGUCAGUGCAAUAUGACUUUCAGCAGUGCAUUAUGCUGCAUAUUGCACUUGGCAACAACGUAGCAACGGGAUAUAAGCUGCAUAUAAUAUGCUGUAUUUAUCGAGUGCCCUAAAUUGUUCGAUACAUGCAUGUCAAUGCAGUAAUGAGUACAUUGUUCACAAAAUGUCAUGUCCGUUCAGUCUCAGCUCAUCCCCUUUAUAGAAGCUAUAGUGAAACAACAUACGUAAUUAUACUGAAUCUCGUUUACUAAGGAAUGACUUAAGAUUUGGAUAUCAACUACAUAUCCUGUCGCUAUCAGAACUAGAGCACUGAAGUGUGAACACCUCGGCUGUGACAUGAAUAAUAGGUGUUGUCAAGAGUAGUCUUGUCUUGCAAUAAAUGCAGUGAACAUGCUGGCUAAACAGGAAGUAACAGGAGCAGUGUAUUAAAUUAGAGCCUGAGGCAUGCUGAAAAUGGAGUUUUAGUAGUCCAUGAGACAUGCAUGCACUGUGGACUAUAGGAGCUUGAAGUAUUAGAAAUAAUGGCUCCUGUUCUGGGCUAGAAUAGUGUUAUCAAAUUGCACCCUAGAUCAAUUUCCAUCCUACAAUAAAGAACAUCAACAAAAUUAAGAAGCCACAACCACAUUCUAGCUUUCUUUUCUAGUGACCCUUUUCCAUUGUUCCUGGUAUAGGAUCACUUCAGCUGUAAAUACGUACCUUGAAUAAAGGCCAUCCGGUAUUAAAAGACAUUCUACUGUAGGUCAUGCAUGCAUUUGAACCUCUAUUCUCAAAAAUAACCCGCUAUAUACGAUAUGCAAACAUUCUGUAUCAUGCAUGCAGCAAUAUUAUAUAGCUUGACAUGUGUCUGAAUUUUGUUCUUACGGUGCAGAGUUUACUAUCGGCUUCCACUCUACCUAUAGUAUUGUAACAAUGGCUCUAACUGCUUGUUGUUGUUGUCUUAUGCUUCAUGUAACGUCUCUGCACGGAGGCUGUGGUUUGUCAAUCCUUGUAAUUUCUGCUCCUCUCUGGUAAAUAACUCUGCUUCUUCUUGUUGGUACUAGUGUAGUGGCUGUUUCCUGAAGCUGCCUUUGUUCUUGAGCUACAGUUACUUUACUUAGACCUGCAGCAUUUAUAGAUUUCUGCAACCGAUUCUCUUGUAUUACUUCAGUGUAAGAAGGCAAAGCUGUUCCUUGUUCCUGAACCUCAUUGUAUGAGGGUGGUGGUUCAUUUGAUAAUGAUCUGUCGUUGACUGUCUCACCAAUAGCAUCAGAUUCUGGUUUUAACGCGUUAGUAAGAGGAUUCGAGAUAGUGAAAGUAUAUUGUGGUCCUGUGGCGGCAGUAAUUUCUGCUCCUCUCUGAUAAAUAACCCUGCUUCUUCUUGUCGGUAAUAGUGGUGUGUGAUCAUCUCCCCUCCUCGAAUAACUUUCAUUUCUCCUUCUCAGAUGAGCAAUACAGCAUCCCACACACAUUGCUAUAUAGAGUGCCACUAAUAGUGCACCACCAAUGAGUGAAACAAGAUACAAUACCGACGAAUCGAUGGCCAUCUCACCAAUACUAUAAGACACUGUGUUAACGACUAUACUUAUAUAGUGACUAUAGUGACUGACUAUAACGACUAACAUGGUGUUCUUAUAUCCGACAUGUUGACCUAUUAACAUGCAUGUUAUCAGUUGUGAUAACAGAGUUCAUAUAAUUUCUCUGUUCGUUUCCUGCAAGCAUAAUAAAUUAUAAUUAUGCUGGGUGUUGAGGUCAUUUCUAUUUUUACAUGUGUAUAUACUGCAUUAUGCAGUGUAGUAGGUAAAUGAUAAUUGUAAUCAUACGACAAAAGACACUGUGUUAACGACUAUACUUAGUGACUAUAGUGACUGACUAUAACGACUAACAUGGUGUUCUUAUAUCCGACAUGUUGACCUAUUAACAUGCAUGUUAUCAGUUGUGAUAACAGAGUUCAUAUAAUUUCUCUGUUCGUUUCCUGCAAGCAUAAUAAAUUAUAAUUAUGCUGGGUGUUGAGGUUAUUUCUAUUUUUACAUGUGUAUAUACUGCAUUGUGCAGUGUAGUAGGUAAAUGAUAAUUGUAAUCCUCCAUGGCCAGCUAUAUAUCUGCUGCAUAUAAUUAUGGUUCUCCUAUUGAGUGCCCUAUAGCUAUAUAUAAUUUUUGUCUCUUAUAUGUUUGAUACAUGUCAGCACAAUGCUGAAUGUUGUUCACAAAAUGUCAUGUCCAUUCAGUCCUAUUUGAAGCUCAUCCCCUUUAUAGAAGCUAGUGAAACAAGUCAUAUAGCUAAACACUAAAUCUAGAAUGAGCGGUAUCAUUUCAAGUUUUGACAUCAACAAUGACUACAUUUUCAUUGCUGCCUCUGUUAUUGGUGGACUGUUCAUAGCCUUUGCUGUGUUUUUGUACUGCUCUCGGUUUCGUCGUUCUCAAAGAGGUCAAAACUUUUUCCGACGAGCUCCUUCAGAUUCAAAUAAUUUGAGGAGAGACGAUCCAUCUAGUGAGUUUUCUUUAUCGGGUAAUUCCCAGAGGCGGAUAUUGGUUGAAACAGAUGAUCAGUAUAGGAUUGAACCAGGAGUGGACUACCAAUACUACAGUCCACCUAGCCCUUUCCUCAGUACACAGAGAGUAGCGGAAACAAGUGAUCCCCUUGGGAACCCACAAUCGUCUUCGGCUACUGACCCCCCACCUCCCUACGCUACAGCUAUACUCUCUCAGCGAUACCAACCCAGAACACCCUCACCUUUGACCUUUAGCGUCUCGGCUAACCCCCUCCCCACAGGGGCUGAAGCUAUAACUACUGUUUUGCCUCCAGCUUACGAUGUGGCAGUGAGACAAGACAAUGAUGCAAGAUAGAUACGAACGUACCAGAACUAUAUAAUAAUUGUACUAUUACAUUCACCAAUUUUGCUCACGCAGUGUUGUUGACUCACAUGCACACCAAAAUGUAUAGUAAUUAUUGCUUCAUAAUUAUAAAGGUGUCCUGAAACCAUAUUUAUUUUGUAGUGAUUGCAUGCUGUUCACCUCAUAUUAUUAUAUAUAAUUUGUAGAACUGUACAGAAAUAGCUUUCCACUAAUUGAGCACGUGCAGUGUGUACAUGUAUUUUAAUGGUCUACACUGUUCACAGCUUGUACCUGUCCUAUACACUAUGCAACUCUAUUCAUGACGACAGUCACAUUAGCUCUGUAGUUGCAGUUUCAGCUGCCAUAACUAACCACAGUCAAUCUUCCAAGACUAGUACUUCAGUAGCUGAAAGAAAUGGUAGCUGUGAAUGAUCCCAAUGGAAAUGACUUUAUUUACCCUUAUUUCAAUUGGAGCUAUUUCUACUACAUCGCACCGGCAAUUGCUGGUAUUCUGAUUUUAUGUGUAAUGGCUUCAUACUG